rnacentral:tRNA from 1 species
GGAGGGUUGCGAGAAUGGUAAUCGACCGGAUUGCUAAUCCGAGUUACGGUAAAACGUGCACAGGUUCGAAUCCUGUACCCUCCGCCA